GACGAACGCUGGCGGCGUGCUUAACACAUGCAAGUCGAACGGAAAGGCCCUGCUUUUGUGGGGUGCUCGAGUGGCGAACGGGUGAGUAACACGUGAGUAACCUGCCCUUGACUUUGGGAUAACUUCAGGAAACUGGGGCUAAUACCGGAUAGGAGCUCCUGCUGCAUGGUGGGGGUUGGAAAGUUUCGGCGGUUGGGGAUGGACUCGCGGCUUAUCAGCUUGUUGGUGGGGUAGUGGCUUACCAAGGCUUUGACGGGUAGCCGGCCUGGGAGGGUGACCGGGCACAAUGGGCCUGGGGUAGGGCCCAGUAUCCUACGGGAGGCAAGGGGGGGGAACAUUGCACAAUGGGGCGGAGGCUGAUGCGACAACGCCGGGUGCGGGAAGCCCGGCUUUGGGUUGUGAACCGCUUUGGCCUUUGCCGGAGCCUGCGUGACGGUAAUGGGUAAAGAAGCACCGGCUAACUACGUG
rnacentral:rRNA from 1 species